CCUUCGAUAGCUCAGUUGGUAGAGCGGUGGACUGUAGCGGUGCAAAGUGUAAAAGUAGAUAUCCAUAGGUCGCUGGUUCAAAUCCGGCUCGAAGGA
rfam:Drosophila virilis strain TSC#15010-1051.87 Ctg01_16244, whole genome shotgun sequence.